GACGAACGCUGGCGGCGUGCUUAACACAUGCAAGUCGAACGGAAAGGCCCUGCUCUUGUGGGGUGCUCGAGUGGCGAACGGGGGAGUAACACGUGAGUAACCUCCCCCUGACUUUGGGAUAACUUCAGGAAACUGGGGCGAAUACCGCAUAGGAGCUCCUGCUGCAUGGUGGUGGAUGGAAAGAUUCGGCGGUUGGGGAUGGACUCGCGGCCUAUCAGCUUGUUGGUGGGGUAGUGGCUUACCAAGGCUUUGAGGGGUAGCCGGCCUGAGAGGGUGACCGGCCACAUUGGGCCUGAGGUACGACCCAGACUGCAACGGGAGGCAGCAGUGGGGAAUAUUGCAAAAUGGGCGGAAGCCUGAGACAGCAACGCCGGGUGCGGGAUGACGGCCUUCGGGUUGUAAACCGCUUUCGCCUGUGACGAAGAGUGAGUGACGGUAAUGGGUAAAGAAGCACCGGCUAACUACGUG
rnacentral:rRNA from 1 species